UAAUGUACAUCAUAUAUUUUUUUUAGUUUUAUCAUUCUCUUAUUUUAGAAGUUACAGGGGGGGGGGACACAUUUUACCACUUUGGAAGUGUCUCUCGCGCAAACUAUUCAGUUUAGAAAAAAAUGAUAUUAAAAACCUCAAUAUCAUUUUUGAAGACCUAUCCAUAGAUAUCCCACACGUAUGGAUUUGAUGAAAAAAAAAAAAUUUUUAGAGAUUUAUGACGUAUUAAAAAAAAACUACUUACUAGAUCUCGUUCAAACCAAUUUUCGGUGGAAGUUUGCAUGGUAAUGUACAUCAUAUAUUUUUUUUAGUUUUAUCAUUCUCUUAUUUUAGAAGUGGGGGGGGACACACAUUUUACCACUUUGGAAGUGUCUCUCGCGCAAACUAUUCAGUUUAGAAAAAAAUGAUAUUAGAAACCUCAAUCUCAUUUUUGAAGACCUAUCCAUAGAUACCCCACACGUAUGGGUUUGAUGAAAAAAAAAAAUUUUGAGGGAUUUAUGACGUAUUAAAAAAACUACUUACUAGAUCUCGUUCAAACCAAUUUUCGGUGGAAGUUUGCAUGGUAAUGUACAUCAUAUAUAUUUUUUAGUUUUAUCAUUCUCUUAUUUUAGAAGUUACAGUCCC